rnacentral:lncRNA from 1 species
CUGCAACAAACGUGAUCACCACGGCUAUUGUGGCUUUAUGACAGAAACCAGCAAAUGUCCCACAAGCUGCACUCCAAGUGAUGGCUGAGUCUCCUUUGUUUGCUAAGUAAAGCACCUCGGUUGAAACAGCAGCAGCUCCCAAGAUUACGUAUGUUAGAAUCUGAAAUUACUAUGAUGUUAUUAGCUGGUAUAAAUGGUUGAUGACUUGAUGUUAAUGAAAAAGGAAGUUUAAUUAGGUGACCUGAUCGAGUAGGAAGAAAGUCCAAGCUCUAGGCAUAGUAGAAGGACGAGGCACAGCUGCUAUAAUAGCUGAAAGAAGGGAAUAGCCUGCACAAAUACCAUUAGCAU